UACGAAGGGGGCGAGCGUUGUUCGGAAUCACUGGGCGUAAAGGGCGCGUAGGCGGCCCUCUUAGUCGCGUGUGAAAGCCCCGGGCUCAACCUGGGAACGGCGCGCGAAACGGGAGGGCUGGAGUUCGGGAGAGGAGAGUGGAAUUCCCAGUGUAGAGGUGAAAUUCGUAGAUAUUGGGAAGAACACCGGUGGCGAAGGCGGCUCUCUGGACCGAGACUGACGCUGAGGCGCGAAAGCGUGGGUAGCAAACAGG
rnacentral:rRNA from 1 species